rnacentral:rRNA from 1 species
GCAAGUCGAACGGAAACGAUUGGAGCUUGCUCCCAGGCGUCGAGUGGCGGACGGGUGAGUAAUACUUAGGAAUCUGCCCAUUAGUGGGGGACAACAUUCGGAAACGGAUGCUAAUACCGCAUACGCCCUACGGGGGAAAGCGGGGGAUCGCCGGACGUCGCGCUAAUGGAUGAGCCUGAGGCGGAUUAGCUUGUUGGUGAGGUAAGGGCUCACCAAGGCGACGAUCUUUAGCUGUUCUGAGAGGAUGAUC